UACGUAGGGUGCAAGCGUUGUCCGGAAUUAUUGGGCGUAAAGAGCUCGUAGGCGGUUUGUCGCGUCCGCUGUGAAAGCCCGGGGCUCAACCCCGGGUCGGCAGUGGGUACGGGCAGACUAGAGUGCAGUAGGGGAGACUGGAAUUCCUGGUGUAGCGGUGAAAUGCGCAGAUAUCAGGAGGAACACCGAUGGCGAAGGCAGGUCUCUGGGCUGUUACUGACGCUGAGGAGCGAAAGCAUGGGGAGCGAACAGG
rnacentral:rRNA from 1 species